AUUUGGCCAUGUUGGUAAGCAACUGGGUCGUAAACAGGAACAGACUGAAGGAUAUGGAGAAGGGAUGGUAUUGGGAGAAAUAUGCUGGAGACUAGAAGGGAUCAUAUAAAUGAUACCAGAAAAGGGUUGUUUGGGGCAAAAUAGGCCACCUCUUUUUCUGACUAGAGUGAAAGAGACAGCGGAAAAUUAGGUCAGAGGAAUUGUGGGAUAAAGAGAACAGCUCACAGCAAAAAGCCUCUGUUUCCAUGAAGCAGGAAGGAAAGAAUUCAGUUGAAAAGGCUGGAUGGGAGGGUAAUGGGCUGACAACAAGAAUGAUGGCCUGAGAAAAUACUGAGGGGGAGUGGGACAUUGUGCACGAUGGAUUUAGGAGUAGUAAAGUAUAGGGAGAAUGGCAGUUUAUGAUAAGAAAGUAAUGUUGAAUUCCUUCAACACAGAAGUAGAAGAUAACUGGUUGGAAGGCAAGAUCAAAGGUUUGACUGUCCAGGAACAUUUGUUCCCUAUGUAUCACUAAGGAAGAGUCUGAGAUUAUGUCACAAGAAGAACAUAGGAGUCUCCUAAAGUGUGCCUGGACCCAGCCUGCAGUAAGGAGAGCCUGAAGACAGGAAUGGCAAACCGCGCCCUAUAUACAAACUCCUGCCCCGGAGUUGAGGGUCGAGGGAACGAGAUCUGCCAGUUUUAGACCAGCACAACCGCAGCUGGAGGUGAUGCAGAGUGGAGGUCUCGAUCUCAGGUCCAGCCCAGGGGCUGAGUGGAUUGACCCUGUCCAGGAGCACAUGUGCUGGCGAGGAGUCCUGUCCUGGGUGACUCGCCCAGCGGUGAAUCUGAGGCCCUACAGUCUGAGGUGACUCCUUGGCCUUUGGGCUCACUCUACCCAUGGACAUAGUCUAUAAUGUGGGAGUGUGCCCUAGGUCUGGUGAGGAUGCCAUGAUGUCUUCUGGAAUGACUGUUAACAUUCUUUCAUUGGUGAGACUUUAUGAAUCGUAGUUUUGGAAGGGGAAUCCCACAAAGCUACUCCUAGAGUCACUCGGCAGGACAAGUUCAAUUUAGGGGAAUAACCAGGAAAGGAAGAGUAUAUAUCCUAGACUACAAGGUAGCCCCAAACGUCUCAGGACCGACCCAAGCUAUAUUUCUGCAAGGUGAAGUGGGGGGAGUAGCCAAGAGAGAAGUGCUGCAAAUCAAAGCCAUCAUUCUUCAAAAAUUAAUAUGCACAUAUAGUAUUAUACUAUUUAAACUACCAAAGACCCCAAAUUGUAAGGGAAAUAAAGAAAGAAGGGGAUUAGGACUCGAAGGUCUUAAAUUAUACUACAAAAUAGUAAUUAUCAAAGUAAUUUGUCACUAGUUAUACAUUUUAAAAGUAGAUCAAUGGGACAUCAAACAAGGAAGAGCAGUUGUUAUGAGGAUUAAAUGAGACAGUAAUUAAAAGCACAGGACCUGCAUACAGUAAGCACUAGAUACAUGUUAGCUAUCCAUUGUCAUCAUCAUCAUCUCAUCAUCACCAUUAUUAUUAAACCCAACUGAUAAACCUGAAAACAAAUUCUCUACUGAAGAGAAAGGCUGAGAAAAUUGGAAAGUAGUCUGGCAGAAAUUGGGUCUAGAACAAAAUCUAAUCUAUCAUAUCAAAUUACCUUCAAAAUGGACGGGCAACCUGAAUUUUAAAGGCCAUUUUUAAAAAUUAGGAGUUUUAUAUACAUAUGACGUGUGUGCAUAUAUGCAUACAUAUAUACAUAUCGAGACAGACAGACAGAAACAGAGACAGAGAGAGUGUUGCUGUGAGGUCUUACUUUUCACUUCCUGAAUCCUUCCCCUGCCCCGAGGGGGGGGGGUGAAGUAAGCCUUCUUUCAAUCCCUGACUCCUAUGAAAUGGCACCCCUGACCUCCGGCCUGAAACAACCUCCACAGAGACUGUUAACAGCAGAGUUCAGGUUAGAUUUCUGGUAAAGACGGCUAUGUGAAAGAUGGUGGAGGGGCCCAAUUCUCCCAUACCCAAACCAAUAAAUUUAUGAAGGCAACAUCAGAUGAAACAUCAAUGAAGAAAACUCAAGAGAGGGAGAUGUCAAUUCUUCUAUUUAACCCAUAGCUGAGAAAAAAAUAGGUAAGAGAGGAAGAUGUAGGAAGAGAAAAAGAGAAGAGGCGAAAGGGAGAAGGAGAAGAUGAGCAGGGAGAGGAAGAGAAGGCUGGGAAAAGGGACUCCUCAGGGGAAAGUUCCAAUACAUAGACCUGAAUCUUGUGAGCACUGAGAAAGUGGCUUCCCAAAUGUUCUUUCUGGGUUUUCACUCCUCUCUCCUAGUUCUGGUCCUUUUUGGCAAUUCCUUCUCCCAUAUAUAUCUCCCUUCUGUCCACUCCCACAGACAGUCUUCUAGUUCAGGCUCUAAUUACUCCUUACCUAGAUGGCCACAAUGGUCUCCUAUUUGGUUUUCUUGCCUAAAUCUUUUGCUUUUAAACUUACCUUCUGUCUUAAAAUCGAUACUAAGUAUUGGUUCCAAGGCAGAGGAGUAAUAAGGACGAGGCAGUUCAGGUCCAGUGAUUUGCUCGUGGUCACAUGUAUCUGAGUCCCAUCUGAACCCAGCACCGAGCCUCGAGGCUUAGACCUCUCAGCGGCCCCUUCUUGACUAAGUCUGGUCUCCACGCUAAUCUGUCCUCCACACAGCAGCUGAAGUGAUGAUUUUCCCUCAAGAUAGGCCUCACAAUGUCACUGCCACACCUAAUAAAUUCGAGGGGUACCCUAUUACUCCAGCAGCAAGCAGAAGUCCAGGCGGUAACAAGCCCCAUUGCAGCUUUCUCGUGGUCUUGUGCUCCACUUCUUGAACACUGGAGGCCGGUCAAACUGGUCUUGAUGUUUCUUCACCCGUGGCCCUCUUCUGCCAUGUCUGUGCCUGGACACCGCGAGCUCCCAUGUCUGAAAUGCCCUCUCCUCGCCUCCCCAACUUCUUUUCGCUCUCAGAACAGGUGCCACCCUCUCCAUGUAUGCAUGGUAUAGCCGUAGUGCUAACUGGCUGUCACCUUGGCAUCUGGAAGCCCCAAACUCGGAGCCUGCUGAGAUCUGAUGAUCCCCAGUUUAGUUAGCUUGAAGCUGAAAGCCUCAAGUGUGACCUUGUCACAUGAGAGUUUCUCCCUGAGGAAAAGUCCAAUAGAUCUUGAAGUAGUUAAAGUGGGGAGGGCCAAUCCCAUCAGAUGCCAAGUCUCUCUUUUGCCCCUCUGGUUUCUCCCUUUAGGUCAAAGUCCUUUACCAAGGUGGCCCAGCCCUUGGUUGGAUCUUGUGUCCAUUGUAAAGCAUCAGGCCCUCACUGUUAUGCCUAUAUGGGACUCCUAGUUUUCCACUUUUACCAUUGUAAAGCCAAUUAACUAUCCCUCUCAUCCUCAAUCCCAGGUUCCCCAAGAAAGGUAUUUAAACUUCCCCACUUUAAUGGCUCUUUGGAGUUGUCAGUCUAGCUCAGCUGGCUCUCCCAGGGGUCAGGGACCAGAGUUUCAAUCCUCAG